rnacentral:rRNA from 1 species
UACACACCGCCCGUCAAGCCAUGGGAGCUGGGAGUACCCGAAACCGCUGUGCCAACCGCAAGGAGGCAGGCGUCUAAGGUAAGACCAGUGACUGGGGCU